rnacentral:rRNA from 1 species
GAUGAACGCUGGCGGCGUGCCUAAUACAUGCAAGUCGAGCGAACAGACGAGGAGCUUGCUCCUCUGACGUUAGCGGCGGACGGGUGAGUAACACGUGGAUAACCUACCUAUAAGACUGGGAUAACUUCGGGAAACCGGAGCUAAUACCGGAUAAUAUAUUGUACCGCAUGGUUCAAUAGUGAAAGACGGUUUUGCUGUCACUUAUAGAUGGAUCCGCGCCGCAUUAGCUAGUUGGUAAGGUAACGGCUUACCAAGGCGACGAUGCGUAGCCGACCUGAGAGGGUGAUCGGCCACACUGGAACUGAGACACGGUCCAGACUCCUACGGGAGGCAGCAGUAGGGAAUCUUCCGCAAUGGGCGAAAGCCUGACGGAGCAACGCCGCGUGAGUGAUGAAGGUCUUCGGAUCGUAAAACUCUGUUAUUAGGGAAGAACAAAUGUGUAAGUAACUAUGCACGUCCUGACGGUACCUAAUCAGAAAGCCACGGCUAACUACGUG